GACGUAGGGCGCGAGCGUUGUCCGGAUUUAUUGGGCGUAAAGAGCUUGUAGGCGGUUUGUCGCGUCUGCUGUGAAAUUCCAGGGCUUAACCCUGGGCUUGCAGUGGGUACGGGCAGACUAGAGUGUGGUAGGGGAGACUGGAAUUCCUGGUGUAGCGGUGAAAUGCGCAGAUAUCAGGAGGAACACCGGUGGCGAAGGCGGCUCUCUGGACCGUAACUGACGCUGAGGCGCGAAAGCGUGGGGAGCAAACAGG
rnacentral:rRNA from 1 species